CAGCAACACAAAAGGGAGUUGUUCCCUGGCAGCCCCUGAAGCAGACCUUCCUAAUCCACCGACUUCUGGGAAGCAGGCUCCUCAGGCCCCGGGACAGGGACGCCACACCACCGGCUCCCCUCUGUCGUCAUCGUCAUCGGGCUGAACCUGGGGAGUGUCUAGGCUGUUCGGAAUCUCAGAGCGUGCCUCCCUUUGGGAAGACACUCGAGGGCCCCCACAUGGCUUGUUCAAACUUCCCAUUUGGGAGAGGAAGGAAGGCUGAAAAAAGGAAGAACUUUUGAAGCUUUAAACCGUCACCAGAAGCCCUAGAUGAAAAAUAGAGCCUCUGAUGCGUGCACACAGUCAGGAAACAUCCCUUGCGCUCAGUACAGAAACAUGUCGGUCAACCUGGGAAAGGAAUCACCACCAUGAAAUAUGCUUUGGGCUUGCCAAAGCCCAGCAGCUGCAAGAGCCAAAAACUCAGCUGCCUGGAUUUUCUGGGGAAGGUGGGGGCUGAAGUUGGGGUGGGGGGAGGCUGGAGGAGAAAGAGUCACCUGAUUUCUGCCUCCACCUCCUGUUUAAUUCCAAGCCAAAACCCAUCUCGAAAUGUCUCAAGGGCCAAUUGCUCCUCAAAAUUGCAUUCAACGCUACCCCUUCCAGUUCUGCGCCUGCUGGUGAGGUGAAGCAGAUGGCUUUUAUUGAUUAAUGUAUUUAUUUGGAAGAGGCCACUGGAAGUAAAGAAAUUCCAGUGAAACGGAAUGCCCUGGCCAGAACUGCCCUGACAAUAUAGCUGACAGCCAGAGAGAGGCAGGUUAAAAGACAUCACAGUUAAGCCCCCAGAACCUGGGGCAUUUUCUGUCUUUCUCCCGUCUGGCCUCCAUGUCAGCUGUGCACGUAUGAAGAAAUACCUCAUUUGGUUCAACCUUCUGUGGUAUUCAAGGGUUUGUGUGAGCUCUAGGGCCCGCUUUGUCAAAAGGGCUUCACAAACCAAACAGGCCUCUGACUUGGAUCUCAUCCUGCAGCCCUCAUUAUACACAGACCCAACAGAAAUUCCCACUGCCUUAACGCCCAGCACAUAAAGUCCUCUUUAAUAAACAUACACCAUUUUUCAGUGGAGCAGCCACAAGGUGUCAAAAGUACAUAAAGGUCUGAAAGCUGAAACCCUAGAUAAACAGCGCACCGAAAUAUAUUUAGCAGAAAAUAUUGAAAGCCACAGGAAAAAUAUGUUCUCUUCCUGGGAUGUUAACGAAGGUUUAGGUUCAGGAAACCUUCAGGAAAUAGCGAGUUGGGUUGAGAAGGAAUACUGCUCAAUGUAAAUAAAUCACUAAACCUCUUUGGCCUCCAUAGGCCUUGGCUGGAAUGGAGUAUUUCAUUUUUCCCCCAUUAAACAGGCCACCCGGAGAGUUGGCAUUACAGACCU
rnacentral:lncRNA from 1 species